rfam:Myotis davidii contig135143, whole genome shotgun sequence.
GGAUGUGAGGGCGAUCUGGCUGCGACAUCUGUCACCCCAUUGAUUGCCAGGGUUAAUUCUGCUGAUCUGUCUGGCUAGGAGGGUGUCCCCCUCCUCCCUCACUGAUGUCUGUGCGUCCCUACGAAGCUGUGUGCUGGGUCAAAGAGGACGACCUUCCCACCAAAGGAGAGGACCGGUCUUCGGUCAAGGGUAUAGGAGUAGCUGAGCUCCCCUGCUAGAACCUCCAAACCAACCCACUACUUAAACCAGCCUUUUGUAUUCUAGGCUUGUGUACCUUGCCCUCAGAGAGGACUAUGAUGGAAGACAUUAUCAAGAGGAACAAACACAGAAUUGACCUGUAAGAAUGUGUUUUUUAAUCUUU